CCUACGGGAGGCAGCAGUGAGGAAUAUUGGUCAAUGGGCGAGAGCCUGAACCAGCCAAGUCGCGUGAAGGAUGAAGGAUCUAUGGUUUGUAAACUUCUUUUAUAUGGGAAUAAAGUGAGGAACGUGUUCCUUUUUGUAUGUACCAUAUGAAUAAGCAUCGGCUAACUCCGUGCCAGCAGCCGCGGUAAUACGGCGGAUGCGAGCGUUUUCCGGAUUUAUUGGGUUUAAAGGGUGCGUAGGUGGGUAGUUAAGUCAGCGGUGAAAGUUUGUGGCUCAACCAUAAAAUUGCCGUUGAAACUGGUUGACUUGAGUAUAUUUGAGGUAGGCGGAAUGCGUGGUGUAGCGGUGAAAUGCAUAGAUAUCACGCAGAACUCCGAUUGCGAAGGCAGCUUACUAAACUAUAACUGACACUGAAGCACGAAAGCGUGGGGAUCGAACAGGAUUAGAUACCCUAGUAGUC
rnacentral:rRNA from 1 species